GGACUACCCGGGUAUCUAAUCCUGUUUGCUAACCACGCUUUCGUGCCUCAGCGUCAGUCUAAAUCCAGGGAGCCGCCUUCGCCACUGGUGUUCCUUCCGAUAUCUACGCAUUUCACCGCUACACCGGAAAUUCCACUCCCCUCUAUCCGACUCUAGUCACGCAGUAUUAAAUGCCAUUCCCAGGUUAAGCCCGGGGAUUUCACAUCUAACUCACAUAACCACCUACGCACCCUUUACGCCCAGUAAUUCCGAUUAACGCUCGCACCCUCUGUAUUACCGCGGCUGCUGGCAC
rnacentral:rRNA from 1 species